rnacentral:misc_RNA from 1 species
AGAAUAUCCCACUGUAAGCAUGAGCAAAGAAGCUGAAGAAUUAGAUACAUUCUUUGAGGAUUCAGGGGGAAAGAAUUAUAUAUUUUACUGUAUAUGUAAUAAUUUUGAAGAAUGUUUUAUCUUUAUUCUUUUUUCAUGUUUUUAUGCUUCUUACUAAUAAUUUUGGUCAAGCUUCUUAUGUAUAUAUUAAUUUAAAGUAUUAAUUAUAUUUCUGCAAUCAUAAUUGAAUCAUAAUUAACCAAUUGUAAUUAUAUUAUAAUUAUAAAAAUUGUGGUUGCUCAAUUCAUACACUUACAGAUAAUUGCAGAGAGAGAUCAUGGGUUCAAUGCCAGACUUUCUCUUAUAAAACGAACAAUAUAUAUUAUGAUUCCUGGAUAGACCAAGUCUUGAUUCCUAAGCUUGACAGAUAGUGGCAUAGAACAUGCAGUCAAUGCUAAUAUGUGUAGUCGGAUUAUUUCAAAGAAUUUUGAUAUCUCAAAAUUGAUGCAAAUCUUAAGUAAUAUUGGAAUCAUUUUUAAAAUUUUGAAUUUAAAUACAUUUAAAAAUCAAUAAGAGGUUUUUAUUAUAACAUGGACUAAUUAAAUAAGGACUCAUAUUGUUAUCCUUUUUCUUCUUUCCUAUUUAAUUUAGACUAGGUUUGAUUAGCUUGCUAAAUUGUUAUUUUUAUGUAUUUAAUGAUAAAGAAAACAAAAAAUUUAUUAAAUAAAGCUAAGAUUCUAUAUUAAAAGUGUGAGAAGUCUCUAUUGUUUGCAAAUUAAAAAAGAAAAAGGAGAUUCAUA